rnacentral:rRNA from 1 species
AGUAUACAAUAUAAGAGCAUACGAUGAAUGCCUUGACACCAAAAGACGAUGAAGGACGUUGCAGGGUGCGAUAAGUUUCGGCGAGGUCCCAAGCAACCUUUGACCCGAAAAUUUCCGAAUGGGGGAACCCAACUUGAGUAAUGUCGAGUUACCAUAUACUGAAUACAUAGGUAUAUGGGGAAGACCUGGCGAAGUGAAACAUCUCAGUAGCCAGAGGAAAAGAAAGAAGUAAAAGCUAUUGAUUUUCAUUCACAGAUUCUACCUUCGGGUCUGAUCUGUGUAUUGAAGAUCUAUAGUUCGAUUCCGUUAGUAGUGGCGAGCGAACGCGGAACAGCCUAAACCUAUAUUAUGUUGAAUAAUGGAUUCAUUGGUCUUCGGACUUAUUUUGACGUUAUUCUUAAAGGACAGACCGUUGUAAUAUAGGUGUUGUAGGACAGAGAUCUCGGUGAUCUGUAGAACCGGAUUUAUAGUUUAUAUAUAGCCGAAAACUCCUGGAAAGGAGUAUCAUAGAGGGUGAUAAUCCCGUAGGCGAAAUAUAUAGACUUAUAAAUAUCUUUGUUCCUGAGUAGGGCGGAACACGUGAAAUUCCGUUUGAAUCUGCCGUGACUAUGCGGUAAGGCUAAAUACUUUUGGUGAUCGAUAGUGAACUAGUACCGUGAGGGAAAGGUGAAAAGUAGCCCGGAGAGGGCGGUGAAAUAGUACCUGAAAUCGUAUGUUUACAAUGAGCUGGAAUCUUAAGUCACCUUCGGGUGACGGGAUGACAGUGUUCCUAUUGAAGAAUGAGCCUGUGAGUAUGCUGUCAGUUGCAAGCUUAAGGACCUAUGGUCCGAAGGCGUAGCGAAAGCGAGUCUUAACCGGCGAUUAAGUAGCUGGCACAUAACCCGAAACUAGGUGAGCAAUCCAUGGCCAGGUUGAACUCUGUCGAAAGACAGAGGGAGGACCGAACCCACGCACCGUGCAACAUGCGGGGAUGAGCUGUGGAUAGCGGAGAAAUUCCAAUCGAACCUAGUAAUAGCUGGUUCUCCUCGAAAUAGCUUUAGGGCUAGCUGUAUGCGUUCCCUCUGGGGGUAGAGCACUGGAUGAGGUCGGGGUCCUUCGGGAUACCCACCUCAAUCAAACUCCGAAUACCAGAGAUUAAAAGCAUGCAAGUCAGACUAUGGGGGCUAAGCUUCAUAGUCAAAAGGGAAACAGCCCAGAUCGCAAACUAAGGUCCCUAAAUUAUCACUAAGUGUAAAAGGAGGUGUUAACUCUUAUACAACCAGGAGGUUGGCUUAGAAGCAGCCAUCCUUUAAAGAUAGCGUAACAGCUCACUGGUCAAGAGUUUUCGCGCCUAAAAUGUACCGGGGCUAAGUGAUAUACCGAAGUUGCGAAUUCUAUAUUUUUUUAAUAUAGAGUGGUAGAGGAGCGUUCCAAACUGCAGUGAAGUCGGAUCCGUGAGGGCCGGUGGAGCGUUUGGAAGUGAGAAUGCAGGCACAAGUAGCAAAAAUGGGUGUGAAAGACAUCCACGCCGAAAACCCAAGGUUUCCAGGGCAACGAGAAUCGUCCCUGGGUUAGUCGAUCCUAAGGCCAGGCCGAAAGGCGUAACCGAUGGAAGAGCAGGUUAAUAUUCCUGCACUUGGUAUAGUUUGUAUAUAUAUGUAUGUUUCAAUGGUGUGAGCGUUGUAUGGCUACACGUUUCGCAAGAUGGAGACCAACUCUUCGGAGGAGGUCAACUCGCGUUUGAGAAGCAUCUAGAAGAGUAUAUAUGCGCUAGGCUAUAUCAAAUCGUACCGCAAACCGACACAGGUGGGUAGGUCGAGAAGACCAAGGCGUACAAGAGAAACAUGGUUAAGGAACUCGGCAAAACAGCGGCCGUAACUUCGGGAUAAGGCCUGCCCCAGCAAUGGGGCCGCAGCUAAAGACUUCAUGCGACUGUUUACCAAAAACACAGCUCCCUGCAAAAGCGUAAGCUGAAGUAUAGGGGGCGAUGCCUGGCCAGUGUCAGAACGUUAAGGAAACGGGUUAUCUACUUCGGUAGAGAAGCUUGCGACUGAAGCGCUGAUGAACGCCGGCGGUAACUAUAACCGUCCUAAGGUAGCGAAAUUCCUUGUCGGGUGAGUUCCGACCCGCACGAAUGGCACAACGAUGUGCAGACUGUCUUAACCAUGUACUCGGCGAAAAUACAAGAGUCGUGAAGAUGCGACUUACCCGCAGCUAGACGAAAAGACCCCAUGAAGCUUUACUACAGUUUGACAUUGGUAUA